GAUGAACGCUGGCGGCGUGCCUAAUACAUGCAAGUCGAGCGAACGGACGAGAAGCUUGCUUCCCUGAUGUUAGCGGCGGACGGGUGAGUAACACGUGGAUAACCUACCUAUAAGACUGGGAUAACUUCGGGAAACCGGAGCUAAUACCGGAUGAUAUUUUGAACCGCAUGGUUCAAAAGUGAAAGACGGUCUUGCUGUCACUUAUAGAUGGAUCCGCGCUGCAUUAGCUAGUUGGUAAGGUAACGGCUUACCAAGGCGACGAUGCAUAGCCGACCUGAGAGGGUGAUCGGCCACACUGGAACUGAGACACGGUCCAGACUCCUACGGGAGGCAGCAGUAGGGAAUCUUCCGCAAUGGGCGAAAGCCUGACGGAGCAACGCCGCGUGAGUGAUGAAGGUCUUCGGACCGUAAAACUCUGUUAUUAGGGAAGAACAUAUGUGUAAGUAACUGUGCACAUCUUGACGGUACCUAAUCAGAAAGCCACGGCUAACUACGUG
rnacentral:rRNA from 1 species